rnacentral:rRNA from 1 species
CAGAUGGGAGCUUGCUCCCUGAUGUUAGCGGCGGACGGGUGAGUAACACGUGGGUAACCUGCCUGUAAGACUGGGAUAACUCCGGGAAACCGGGGCUAAUACCGGAUGGUUGUCUGAACCGCAUGGUUCAGACAUAAAAGGUGGCUUCGGCUACCACUUACAGAUGGACCCGCGGCGCAUUAGCUAGUUGGUGAGGUAACGGCUCACCAAGGCGACGAUGCGUAGCCGACCUGAGAGGGUGAUCGGCCACACUGGGACUGAGACACGGCCCAGACUCCUACGGGAGGCAGCAGUAGGGAAUCUUCCGCAAUGGACGAAAGUCUGACGGAGCAACGCCGCGUGAGUGAUGAAGGUUUUCGGAUCGUAAAGCUCUGUUGUUAGGGAAGAACAAGUGCCGUUCAAAUAGGGCGGCACCUUGACGGUACCUAACCAGAAAGCCACGGCUAACUACGUGCCAGCAGCCGCGGUAAUACGUAGGUGGCAAGCGUUGUCCGGAAUUAUUGGGCGUAAAGGGCUCGCAGGCGGUUUCUUAAGUCUGAUGUGAAAGCCCCCGGCUCAACCGGGGAGGGUCAUUGGAAACUGGGGAACUUGAGUGCAGAAGAGGAGAGUGGAAUUCCACGUGUAGCGGUGAAAUGCGUAGAGAUGUGGAGGAACACCAGUGGCGAAGGCGACUCUCUGGUCUGUAACUGACGCUGAGGAGCGAAAGCGUGGGGAGCGAACAGGAUUAGAUACCCUGGUAGUCCACGCCGUAAACGAUGAGUGCUAAGUGUUUAGGGGGGUUUCCCGCCCCUUAGUGCUGCAGCUAACGCAUUAAGCACUCCGCCUGGGGGAGUACGGUCGCAAGACUGAAACUCAAAGGAAUUGACGGGGGCCCGCACAAGCGGUGGAACCAUGGUGGUUUAAUUCGAAGCAACGCGAAGAACCUUACCAGGUCUUGACAUCCUCUGACA